CAAAAAGAGGAAAUCCAAAACAGAAAAUAUUGAGAUUUUCCAUAACUAGCUUACAGUGUCCUCCACAAUGAUUGACACCUUAAGAAAGAUGUGUAAAAAAAAACAAAAAAACUCAAACCUUAAAAUAAAGUCAUUACAGUGGCAUAAUGUCACACUGAAAAAACCCAUCCUUUAAUUUGUGCAUUUACUCUUUGGCAGGCACUGGAACAAGGUUUCCCAUCCUUUUGGAAAGGAAGGGUCCACUGCACGUAUUCAUCCCUUGGUAACGUCUGAUCAAAGAACACGGUUCCAGUUAAAGUCCCAGCUGAGUUUGGCACCCUUCACAUGCUUGUGUUUGUGAUGUGCUAAAACAUAAAGCCUACAGGACCGUUGUGGGCUGAGCCGAAGAGGGAGAGGACCAAAAAGGAAUGGUUAAAGAUCCCUGUAUGUUCCAACCUUGUGAAUUGUGACAUAUAGGGCUGGCCCAGUGAUAAAGGGGCUGAAUGAGAGUUGUGGGACACAAAAUAGACAAACACUAAAGGCAAGGCCAACAUAUAGCUUGUACUAUCCAUGGCAAGAAGCUGGCUUUACCUGAGGGAUCAAUUCUUUUUACAGCAAUGUUGCUAAAAUAUGAAAACAGCCUAGCGAUUGUAUGUAAAGAAAGAGAAACAGGAUGAACAAAAUUGCAGUUUUGAAUGGAUACAACUGUCAGAAAUCAUAUGGGAACAAAGAACAGAAGAAGGAAAAGUGU